GAAGGUUUUGCACUGAAAGAUGAAAACUUGAAGUACCAUGGAGGUUCAACGUGCAUGAGUAUACACAAUCCCCCAGUCUCCGCUAAUCAAUACAGUGGAGCUUUUAUGUGGGUUCAAGGUGGACAAAACCAAGUACAAGUUGGAUGGCAUGUGAAUCCUAGGUUAUAUGGUGACAACAAGACCCAUUUUUUUGGAUAUUGGACUUCAGAUGACUCUCAAAAGACUGGCUGCUUCAAUGUUAUAUGCAAUGGUUUUGUCCAAGUUAGCAGAGAAAUACC